rnacentral:rRNA from 1 species
GGGCAGCGGGGGAGUGGCAACACUUCCGCCGGCGACAGGCGCACGGGUGAGUAACACGUAUGAAACCUGCCCGCAUCAGGGGGAUAAGCGGAAGAAAUUCCGUCUAAUACCGCGUAACAACCGACGGGGGCAUCCCUGUUGGUUCAAAGGAACGAUCCGGCUGCGGAUGGUCAUGCGGCGCAUUAGCUAGUUGGCGGGGCAACGGCCCACCAAGGCGACGAUGCGUAGGGGUUCUGAGAGGAAGGUCCCCCACACUGGUACUGAGACACGGACCAGACUCCUACGGGAGGCAGCAGUGAGGAAUAUUGGUCAAUGGCCGAGAGGCUGAACCAGCCAAGUCGCGUGAGGGAUGACGGCCCUACGGGUUGUAAACCUCUUUUGCCGGGGAGCAAAGAGCGGGACGCGUCCCGCCUCGAGAGUACCCGGAGAAAAAGCAUCGGCUAACUCCGUGCCAGCAGCCGCGGUAAUACGGAGGAUGCGAGCGUUAUCCGGAUUUAUUGGGUUUAAAGGGUGCGCAGGCGGAAGCGCAAGUCAGCGGUAAAAUUGAGAGGCUCAACCUCUUCCCGCCGUUGAAACUGCGUUUCUUGAGUGGGCGAGAAGUACGCGGAAUGCGUGGUGUAGCGGUGAAAUGCAUAGAUAUCACGCAGAACUCCGAUUGCGAAGGCAGCGUACCGGCGCCCAACUGACGCUCAUGCACGAAA